AGAAGACUGCAAGAGGAUGAAGAAAGAAGAUCCCAAGAGCUGCCAGAGGUUGAAGAAAGAAGACCCCAAGAGCUGCCAGAGUUGAAGAAAGAAGAUCCCCAAGAGCUGCCAGAGGUUGAAGAAAGAAGAUCCCCAAGAGCUGCCAGAGGUUGAAGAAAGAAGAUCCCCAAGAGCUGCCAGAGGUUGAAGAAAGAAGAUCCC